rnacentral:rRNA from 1 species
AUUGAACGCUGGCGGAAUGCUUUACACAUGCAAGUCGAACGGUAGAGGGGGCAACCCCUUGAGAGUGGCGAACGGGUGAGUAAUAUAUCGGAACGUGCCCAGUCGUGGGGGAUAACGUAGUGAAAAUUACGCUAAUACCGCAUACGAUCUAAGGAUGAAAGCGGGGGAUCGCAAGACCUCGCGCGACUGGAGCGGCCGAUAUCAGAUUAGGUAGUUGGUAGGGUAAAGGCCUACCAAGCCAACGAUCUGUAGCUGGUCUGAGAGGACGACCAGCCACACUGGAACUGAGACACGGUCCAGACUCCUACGGGAGGCAGCAGUGGGGAAUUUUGGACAAUGGGCGAAAGCCUGAUCCAGCCAUUCCGCGUGCAGGAUGAAGGCCCUCGGGUUGUAAACUGCUUUUGUACAGAACGAAAAGGUCUCUAUUAAUACUAGGGGCUCAUGACGGUACUGUAAGAAUAAGCACCGGCUAACUACGUGCCAGCAGCCGCGGUAAUACGUAGGGUGCAAGCGUUAAUCGGAAUUACUGGGCGUAAAGCGUGCGCAGGCGGUUAUAUAAGUCAGAUGUGAAAUCCCCGGGCUCAACCUGGGAACUGCAUUUGAGACUGUAUAGCUAGAGUACGGUAGAGGGGGAUGGAAUUCCGCGUGUAGCAGUGAAAUGCGUAGAUAUGCGGAGGAACACCGAUGGCGAAGGCAA